UACAGAGGGCUCAAGCGUUGUUCGGAUUCAUUGGGCGUAAAGGGUGCGUAGGCGGCGCGGUAAGUCGGGUGUGAAAUCUCGGAGCUUAACUCCGAAACUGCAUUCGAUACUGCCGUGCUUGAGGACUGGAGAGGAGACUGGAAUUUACGGUGUAGCGGUGGAAUGCGUAGAUAUCGUAAGGAAGACCAGUGGCGAAGGCGGGUCUCUGGACAGUUCCUGACGCUGAGGCACGAAGGUCAGGGGAGCAAACGGG
rnacentral:rRNA from 1 species